AGGGUAAUAGUUAAAUAUAACAUUUAAUUUGCAUUUAAAAAGUACUGACUACCAGUUUACCUU
rnacentral:tRNA from 1 species